UGUGAUGGGCCUGCAAUGGCCUUAGGCCCAAUCCACGAAGCCAAGAGAGGGGGAAGGUUUCAAAACAGAAUUCAUUUCAUUCUUCACUCAAACCACGUCCAUGAGCUAGGUCACCGUAUAACUCGUCUGAACUACAAUCUCGUCGCGCCGGAAAUCGCCUCUGGCGGAGGAGAUCCGAACACCCUCAAACCUACAUCGUCUGACUUGUUUUUGCUCUCUCUUUCACAAUCUCAACCUGACUUUUCUCAAUUCCUAGCCAAAGCUCCAAAUCGAUCAUAAAUUUCUAUGAACCCUAAUAUUUCAAGUUAAAAUUAAAUGCCACAGAGGAGGAAUCAAAACCUAAAACGUUAGGGCUUUGAUUCCUCGUAUCUAAUUAUACAUUACGAUAACUUGUUUGCGGAAAAAAUAAGGAGAAACAUAAAAUCACCAACCUUCAGGGUCGAGGCUCACCCUAGUGAUUGCUACAGAUUGAAGACGAUGAUUGAGAAGAGAAAACCAGAGAAUUGGUCAAGGUUAGCCUAUAUGCAUUUGAUCUAGGUUUUGGCAAGUCCUUAAGGUUAGCAUGAAAUGUGGAGGAGAUUGAACAAGUCCAAGGAAUUGUGGAGAAAUUGGAGACCACAAAGAUGAGAUGUAAAAACUAUAGGAUAGGGGUUAGGAUUAAAGAAUUGACUUUGGUCAACUGUUUAAAGCAAAAAGUCAACAGUUUGACCAAAGUCAAUUGUAAGUUAAAAAGUGUAAUUGUAUGUAAUUUGAUGUAAUUGGUGUUUUGAUCAUGAAAAUUGGCUUUAAAUGAAAUGUCUUGUAUGUCAAAUAACUUAUUCUUCAAGAAAGCAUUUUUCCCUCCAAA